rnacentral:lncRNA from 1 species
GCAGCACAUGGAGGUUCCCAGGCUCAAGGUCCAAUCAGAGCUGUAGCUGCCAGCCUAUGCCACAGCCACAGCAAUGCGGGAUCCAAGCCACGUCUUUGACCUACACCAGAGCUCAUGGCAACACUGGAUCCUUAACCCACUGAGUGAGGCCAGGGAUCAAACCCGCAUCCUCAUGGAUGCUAGUCAGGUUCACUAACCACUGAACCAUAAUGGGAACUCCCUAUUCAUUCUUUUUAAAAGAUUUGUUAGGGGCAUGUUUACUCUUGUUGCUGCAUUAAUUUUACUACCAAGAUUAACUCUUCUAGGCUGUCUACUGAAUAUCCCAUGCAUGCAAUUCAGGUUACCACACUCCUGCUUUCCUGCUGGAUAGAACUUACAUAUCUUUCAGCUCUGUCUCCAGUCUUGGAAUUGUUCAAGUUAAAUGUUCCUUUGAAUUACUUGUCCAGCAUGAGGAAAUUCUACCCUAUCCACGUGGGUCUUGGUAUUUAGAAACAGGCUCAAAAAGACUCUAGCUAUUGAUAUUUGGGACUCUUUAUCAGGACAGCCACAUCAUCUGUACUAUCCUGCCCCCUAAAAUCAAGUUUUCUCCACCUAUCCACAUCUCAUAGCAAUCUUCUCAUUUCACUGGGAAAUCCUAUCUCUGCUUGGGCUCUCCUUUGCUGUGCCACAGUCUGUGACAUGCUUCCAGGAAAAAAGCUAGUGGAUUGUAAGGCUCAUCUCAUUUGUUUUACUUUCUAUCUUACAUCACAUUCUUGCACUGCUGGCUGUUCAAUGCCCACAGCAACUCUUUUAUAUAUGUUGUCCACUAUUCUAGUUUCUACUGGGCAGACAAAUUCAGUUAGGCAAGGCGGAGAUCUCUAUUCCAACUAGUGAUUUUUAUAUUAGUUCCUCCAAGAUGAUUUGGGUUAACCAAGAUUGAUUUUAAAACUGUGUCAUGACCAGCUAGUUUCUUAAUGCUUCUGUUUUUCACGUCAACGUGAGUUUUAUAAGAAUGUCUACAUCUGUAUAACAAGAUGUGAAUAUUUUUGUCUUGUGAAUAAUUUCAAUUUGUAGGCUCACCAAAUCCAUUUGUAAAUUUGCAACUCAAACAAUGGAAAAUAAAAAAAAUAAAAUAUGUCAUCUUUUAUGCUGUUUCAACUAGGAAUUUGUCCUUGGUACAGGGGAAGAUAAGUAUUUUAGUCAUGCAAACGCAUGACCACUUAAUGAAAUUGUAAAUAUAUUUUUUGUGCGACUUUUUUUCCGCAAAGACAAGUUAAUUCUUCCCUAACCUUCUUCUUUCCCUCUUGAUAAAAAAUGGUUUAAACAUGACAUUCCUAUCCCACUGUUCCAUGUAAAUAAGUUUCCUUUGAGGCCGGUAUUUGUUCUGUAUGAGUGUCACAUACUUAUUUUUCUAUUCACUGACUGUUUUGUUGGUUAAUCUGGGUCCCAAUUUUCUUCAUGACCUGUAAAAUUGUCUUUUCCAACUUCUUGGCAGCAGCAGCUUGCAGCCUUGGUGAUGUUUCAUGUGGCCUACCUCUUGCCUUGGCUAAGCUCAGAUCAUAUGUCCAUCAUCGGAAGUAUACAAAAUGUGGUCUAACCAUGAAAGAGUCUUCCAAGACAAAAUCAUAAAUAGAGAUGCUUUAGUUUAGAAUAUUUAGAAAUAUCUGUGCCAUCUGUGAAUACAGAAUUUGCCAAAGAAAAAUAAGUCGGAAAUCUAUGGUUUUCCUUUUGAACUUCCAAUUAAAAUGGGCCCAAUAUUGAGGUAAUUCAACCACAAAAUAUAUUUUAAAAAAUAGUGUUAAUUAUAGCUAUUCUGGCUUUCCAUAUACUGUUUUCUUCUGUGAUUAUAGCAUAAAUACUUCUGUGGUUUCAUUUUCUAUGUAAUCACUAAAAGAGAUCCUUAAAACUUCUGAGAAAAGAAUAGUAAAAAUAAUAGUUAUGAAGUAGGAUAAUAAUUUACUGUGUACACCCCUUAUAUAUUAUCUUAAUGGUGAGAAUAUUAGGAGCUUAACAGUAUAAUUUAUUAAUUACAUUAUUUUACUGGUCAUUUUGCUAGUAUUAAAUAUAAAUUUUGAAAAUUAAUAGUCUUUUAAAAUGAUGGCUUAAAGAAUUAGAUAUUGGAUGAUUUAGUCAAGAAGUACUUGGAAUAAUCUGGGGCAAGGAAAAGGAGGAUUGUGGGAUGAAUAAUUUUUAUUUAAAUAUUUUACCUUAGCUAUUCAAAUCUAACCAGAGAGAUGUGAUUAGGGAGCUUGGAAAUUCUUGAGCUCCGUAGC